UUCUAUUACUCCUUCUGUAAAAUAUAAGAGAUUUUGCCUAGAUGUGACACAUCCUAGUACAACGAAUCUGGUCAACGAAUCUGGUCAGAAGUCUGUCCAGAUUCGUUGUACUAGGAUUUGUCACAUCUAACUAAAACCCCUUAUAUUUAG
rnacentral:misc_RNA from 1 species